GGGGCUAUAGCUCAGCUGGAAGAGCACAUGACUGGCAGUCAUGGGGUCAGGGGUUCAAAUCCCCUUAGCUCCACCA
rnacentral:tRNA from 1 species